rnacentral:rRNA from 1 species
UACGUAGGGCGCAAGCGUUGUCCGGAUUUAUUGGGCGUAAAGAGCUCGUAGGCGGUUUGUCGCGUCUUCCGUGAAAACUGGGGGCUUAACUUCCAGCUUGCGGUGGAUACGGGCAGACUGGAGUGCGUGCAGGGGAGACUGGAAUUCCUGGUGUAGCGGUGGAAUGCGCAGAUAUCGGGAGGAACACCAGUAGCGAAGGCGGCACUCUGGGCCGGUACUGACGCUGAGGAGCGAAAGCGUGGGGAGCGAACAGG